rnacentral:rRNA from 1 species
AGCUCCAAUAGCGUAUAUUAAAGUUGUUGCAGUUAAAAAGCUCGUAGUUGAACUUCAGGCCUGGCCAGGCGGUCCGCCUAACGGUGUGUUACUGUCUGGCUGGGUCUUACCUCUUGGUGAGCCGGUUCGUGUCCUUCAUUGGGCGCGGGUCGGGGAACCAGGACUUUUACCUUGAGAAAAUUAGAGUGUUCAAAGCAGGCCUAUGCCCGAAUACAUUAGCAUGGAAUAAUAGAAUAGGACGUGCGGUUCUAUUUUGUUGGUUUCUAGAGUCGCCGUAAUGAUUAAUAGGGAUAGUUGGGGGCAUUGGUAUUCAGUCGCUAGAGGUGAAAUUCUUGGAUUGACUGAAGACCGACUACUGCGAAAGCAUCUGCCAAGGAUGUUUUCA